rnacentral:lncRNA from 1 species
GGCCAUGUCCAUGAUGUAGACUCGAAUAAUGAAAAUAUACAUAUAUAUACCUGAUUUUUCCUAAGUUAACAGGUGCACGUGCACCCUCACGAGAACAUGUAGGUUCACCUCUGAGUGGAGAAGACUGGAGCUCAACAACAACCUAGAAUGCAUCAACAAUUUCAACAGCUUCAAAAAGGAAAAGUUAAAAUCUUGUCUAGUGAAAAAGUAAUAGGCUAUCCAAGAGCGUGGAAGGUGGUUGGGUGUAAAGCCAACAAACAAGUAGUUGAUACUUCUAUUCAAAAUACUAACAGGUUUGCAGCUUUGUUGGAUGAUCCACAAGCAAUCAGAUCAAACAAUGAUGAGAAUCAAGAAUCAACAAGUUAGCAUGAGGAUAUAACUGAUCAACCGAGUAAGCAUGUGAAGUCUAGAAAGGAAUGGGUGUUACAAACUUUUGGGAAGCAAGAACUUCCUACACAAAGGAAGGAUGCCAACUCAAUAAGUGAACAACCGAGGAUUCAGAGUCUUGAAAAACCUUUAGAUACCCUGCAAAGUGUAGUUACACAUUCGGAUAAAGAGAGAGCAAAAAAGGCUGAAGGGGAAAAUGAAUUGAUUAAUCAGAAGAGUACCAUUUUCGGGAGUGUGGAGUAUCAAUGUAGUGCUAACAGUGAAGAUGAUCUAUCCAUUACUAUUAAUUCAGUAACCCUGUAUAGCCCAGUGUUAGAUAAUAUUGAAGAGAAUAAGAAUGAAGGGGAGGUGAUUACAGAAGAUAAUGUAUCAAAAGUAAUUAUAGCACUACCACACCAACAAGUUGUUGUUUUACCAGUAGCCAUGAGCAGUCCUGCAAUUCAAGUCAAUAAUCAACAGUUAGAUAACCAAGUUUCAAUGUUAGUUGAAAGAGUGCAGGCAGGGGAUGUGGAUGUGAAUGGAAAGAAAAAUCUCAAGACAUGUCUCUCACAGGCAAUAAUUGAGGUUCCAAGGGUGGUUCAAUUGGAUGAUAGUCAGUUGAUUCAAAUGGAAUCCCCUAAUAGAAUGUGACAUACCAUUAUUUCUUAUAAUUUCGAUGUAGAAAACAGUUGUAACAAUGGAUCACAUGGUACACUAAUUGCUAAAGGUUUAAUGGAGGAGGACAAUAUUGAUGAAUUCUGGUUUGUUCAACUUGAGGCAGACCUAUCACCAAGACGGUUAAACAGUGCAAGAAAAGGGAAAAAACAAGGGAAUGGUGAUAAAAUGUACCUAUCAGAGUUCACCCUAAAAGGGUCAAAACAGGUCCUAAUAAACAAUGAAUGCUCUUAUAUGGAAUAUUAGAUCUUUCAGAUCCCAACAAGCUUUUCAAAGAGUAAAGAUGUUGCAUAACCACCAUAUCAACAUGUAUAAGAGACGAUUGAGCAUGUCAUUUGUUACUCCCAAUUCAAAUAGCAAAAUUUAGUUCUUUGCAAAUAAUGGGCUUCAUGCUACUGUUGUAAAGAGCUCAGAUCAAUCAAUUACCGUUAAGCUUCACAAUCAGCUAACCUCACAUAUUUUCUUUGUAGCACUAGUCUAUGACAAAUGUACCAAUGAAGAAAGAUUGGUAUUGCAUAUUUGAGGUGGCAUCAUCAAUGACUAAUCCUUGGCUAGUAUGGGGUGAUUUUAAUGUGGUAUUGAAUGUUGAAGAAAAAAUUGGUGGUCUACCAAUUCAUGAUCUUGAACAUGAGGAUUUUGAUAAUUGCAUUUCAUCUUGUGAUCUUACAUAAAUCCAAUUUAAGGGAAGACCUUUAACUUGGUGGAAUGGAAGGGAUGGACAUAACUACAUUUUUGAAAGAUUGGACAGAAUCCUAAUGAAUCAAGAGAUGCAAGAAAGGUUUACCCAUAUGGAGGUGGAGCACUUAGCAAGGACAGGAUCAGAUCAUGCCCCUAUGUUUCUGUCUUGCAAGGUUGGAGAGAUUAGUAAUAGGAAACCUUUUAGAUUUCUUAAGUUCUAGGUUGAUAAUCCAAAUUUCUUGGAGGUAGUUAGACAAAAUUGGUUUGUUAAUGAGUCCCAAAAUCCCUAUUUUGACUUUAGAGAUAAUAUCAAUAGAGUCAAAGCAACAUUAACAAAAUGGAGCAGAGAAACAUAUGGAGACAUUUUUAAGUAGCUUAUUAUCAGGGAGGAUAUUGUUAAGAUUAAAAACAAGUUAUUUGAAGAAUUCCCAAAUGCUGAGAACAGGAAAGUGCUACACAGAGCACAGACUGAAUAUAAGAAAUACUUGCAUUUUGAAGAGAUAUUUUGGCAACAAAAGGCUAGGUAUGAUUGGUUUGAUAGUGGAGACAAAAAUACUAAGUUCUUUCACAGUAUUGUGAAGGUUAGGAGAAGAAAGCUACAACUGCAAAGAAUUCAAGAUGCUCACGGUACAUGAUUAGAAGAGGCAGGUGAAAUUGCAGAGAUGGUUGUACAUUUUUUUUCAAAGUCAGUUUUUACAAGAGAGGGAUGCUACUGAUUUCUCUUUGUUGAGAAAUAUCCCCUCUCUUAUAAAUAAAGCAGAAAAUGAUGCCUCGUGCAAACAACCUUAUAUAGAAGAAGUCAAGAGAGAAAUGUUCAACCUAAAUGGGGAUAGUGCAAGUGGGCCAGAUGGUUUAACCGAUAGAUUUUACCAGUCAUGUUGGGAGAUUUUAGGUAAUGAUAUCCUAAGGUUGGUUCAAUAUUUUCUCAAUGGUAAUACACUUUACUCAUACUAAUUUGGUCUUUUUGCACAAGAAAGAGAUUAUUCAAUUUUUUUCUGACUUAAGGACAAUUAGUUUAAGCCAUUUUAUCAACAAAAUCAUCUCCAGGGUUGUGCAUGAUAGGCUUGAGGUAUUACUACCUAAAUUGAUUUUGUAUAAUCAAUCUGGUUUUGUUAAAGGGAGGAGUAUCAUAGAAAAUAUUUUGAUGACAUGAAAGAUAGUUACUGAUAUCAGAAAGAGGGGUAAGUCUGCUAAUGUGGUCAUUAAGUUGGAUAUGUCUAAGGCAUAUGAUACAGUCUCUUGGUUUUUUCUUAUGAAAGUGUUGAGAAAGAUGGGUUGUUCAGAGAGAUUUAUAGAUUUGAUUUGGAGACUACUUGCUAAUAACUGAUAUUCAGUGUUGAUUAAUGGUCAACCUCAUGGUUUCUUUUACUCUACUAGAGGUGUAAAACAGGGUGAUCCUUUAUCACCUACUCUUUUCGUAUUUUCAUCUGAAGUUUUGACUAGGGCUUUAAACGCUUUAUUUGAGGAUGAUCAAUAUGUAGGCUAUGGAUUACCAAAAUAGAGCACUAAUCUAAAUCAUCUUGCUUAUAUUAUGCAGAUGACACUAUUAUUUUUCCAUCAGCUAAUGCAUAUUCCUUGAAGAAAAUAGUGUCAAUUUUGCAGGAUUAUGAGAGUCAAUCUGAAAAGAAAGUAAAUAAGGAUAAAAGUUCAGUUUAUCUUCAUCAGAAGCUACAACUGAAGUUAAACAACUAGUGGAAGAUUGUACAGGUAUAAAAUGGGUCUUUUUUCUUUUAAAUACCUAGGUUGUCCUAUUACUCAUUCAAGGAAAAGAAAAAAGCACUAUGCAAAGCUAAUUCAAAAAGUGAAGGCCAAGUUGCAAGCUUGGAAAGGAAAUAUGCUAAUAUAUGGAGGUAAAGAGGCAUUGAUAACCAAUGUGUUACAAAGUAUUCCAUUCAUGUGCUUUCUACUAUAGUUCCUCCUAAUUUUAUCUUAAAGGAUCUUCAUAGAAUUUUUGCUAAAUUCUUUUGGAGUAAUAAAGUCUCAGGAAGGAGUAAGCAUUGAGCUGCUUGGGAGAAGGUUUUCUUGCCUAAACAAGAAGGUGGUUUAGGAUUUAGGUCCAUGUUUGAUAUCCCAAAAGCCAUAUAUGCAAAGCUCUGGUGGAGAUUCAGAACGCAAAACACCCUAUGGGCAAAUUUCAUGUGGAACAUGUAUUGUAAGAAGCAGAGUCCUACACUUGUUCAAUGGAAAGGGGGCUUUCAAGUGUGGAAGAAUAUGUUGCAAAAUAGAGAAUGUAUUGAACAAUUCUUAUGGUGGGAACCUAAGGGGGUACUUCUUCAGUUUGUUAUGAUAAUUGGACUAUGCUAGGUCCUUUAUAUCUUCAACAUACAGAAGUGCACACAUGUCACCCAAUGAUAGAUGUUGAUAAAUUCUUGAAGGAAGCUGGUUGGGUUUAUGUUAAUAUGGAACAUCAUUUACCAGAGAAUGUGGUUAACCAGGUUAGAUUGCAUAUGAGUCAUAUUUUGAUGGCUGAUCAAGGGGACAAGCCUUGGUGGACAAAAACAAGCACUGGAAAGUUGUCUAGGAUUUGUUAAGAAAAAAGAGAGGAUGUAAAUGUGUACUUUAAGCAAAUUUGGGGGAAGGGUCUUCCUUUUAAGGUUGCAUUAUUUGGGUGGAGAGCAUGGUCAAAUAGAGUUCAUGUAGCUACUGUAAUGGCUAAUUGGAAUCCCAAUAUUUCUCAAUUAUGCACUUGUUGUAGUGAUCCUAGUAGAGAAACCUUAGAGAAUUUAUUUAUAAAAAGGGAGAUUGUGAACAUAGUCUGGAAAUACUUCACAUAUGCUAGGCAAACAAUAGUAAUUCAAACACUUCCUAUUAUAGUAUUAUGGUUUUUAUGGAAGAGAAGAAAUACACUGGUUCAUGGUGGCUCUUAUUGGUUAUCUGGGAUACAAAUAGCAAGGUGCAAAAGUUUAUGACAUGUAGAUUUGGGUACAAGGAUGUCCCUAAUACUUGGCCUCUUAUGGUGGCACUUCUAGAUGGUUUCAGGCCCUGUUUUAUAUCCAGAUGGGUAAGGUGGAAUCCUCUUAUUGAAGGUUGGUGGAAGGUGAAUACUAAUGGAGCUUCAAAAGGAAAUUCAGGUCUUAGUGCUGCAGUAUUUUGUAUUAGACAUAGCAAUGGAAACCUAGUUGUUGCAAGAGGGUCGAAAUUACCAGACACUACUAAUCUAGUUGCUGAGGUUGUGGCUAUUAGAGAGGCUUUGCAAUACUCUUGGGAGAAGGGAUAUAACAACAUUAUUGUAGAAACUAAUUUGUUGGCAUUGGUACAUAUGUUAAAUGGUGUUUGGAAUAUACCAUGGAGUGUGGCUUUGGAAGUCAACUCCAUUAAUAGGCUAAUACUAUCAGUAAGAGUACAACACUCUUUAAGGGAGGGAAAUAUUCUUGCUGAUUUUUUUUCCUAACCUGGUAUUUUAUUUUGUUUUGUAGGUAACUAUGAAUUUACAAAUUUCUAGGAGGUCCAAUCACAAGCAGAAGAUUCCAAAUAUGAGAAUUAGACUGUCAAAUGUUACAAGUUACUAAAAUUGUGCGUUAAUCUACAGGUUCAUGGUGAAAUUUUAAGCAAGCUAGAUUAAAACUAUAUCUCAAUGCCUCUAGAGUCUGAAGUAACUUUGUUUGGUCAAUAUACCAUGCACCUGGUGAAAGCUUUGAGGUGUAUCAUGUGGUAUAAAACACUAAGAAGGUAAUGGCAUUCAAGUCUUAUAGGAAUUGCAAGAUCACUCUUUGUUAAAGGCGUUAAAUAUGCAAUCUCAGUCCGAUAAUGAAGAAAAUCAGAUAGAGUGCUAUUGGGUAAACAUACCUAAAGAGAUGAUUGAAGAUGAAGUCGAAAAUAAUUCACAAGCUCUACAACAGACAUUACAACAAUCAACAAAAUUAGUGAAAUUUACCCGAGUUCAGAAAUAGGUGGUGGUAUUAAUCCCUUGGUUGGAUUCAACCCACUUAAACCUAUAUUUGGGUAAGGAUUAUCUGAUUUUAGGUUGAGAAGGUACCAGAUGAAUCAAAAUGGGAGAUUAGAUCUAUCGAUUUACUACUCGAUAAAGUUCAGAUCUAAUCACCAAUUCAAAAUAACAAUUGAUCAAGAUCAGGAGCAUACCUAUCCCUUGAAGAUGAAUCAAAAUGGCAUUUGAGAGAUGAACAAGAACGGAAGGAGUAAGCCUGAAUUUGAGACAAGUUCCACUCUCUUUUUUGCUACUAUUUUGCCCUUCCACUUUCCUAUAUCUUUUGUGUUGUAAAUAUUUUGUUUUAUGAAGUGAGCUGGUUGUCC